AGCCGUAAAACAAACGAAAAUUCCGAUGCAGUCGAUUGUGGAACGUAAAAAAACUCUGGCUAGACGACGCCUUAGCAACGUUUUACGUCUGUUUGACUCUAUCAAAAUGAAUCAACCAUUUGGGAAUACCGUAAUUGACGAAGCCUAUCAUUUGGUGAAAGAAGGUGAAGCUAGAAUUGUGUUUGAUGAUGACUUUCCACAUGCUGUUCUGGUGGUUGGAAAAACUGGCGUCGGGAAAUCGACGUGUGUGGUCUUUGUUUCGUCGGAUUAUUCUCAUAUGUAUGCAGAAAAAUAUCCACCCAAGAUUGGACAGUUGGUGAUCUUAGACGAAGACGGCAAAAUUAGCAAGCCUGGUAACACACACGCUUCUUACAAAAUCAUACACAUUCAAUUGACUGUAGAAUUUAGAAAAAUUUACGUGUUU